rnacentral:rRNA from 1 species
UACGUAGGCAGCAAGCGUUGUUCGGAAUACUGGGCGUAAAGGGUGCGUAGGUGGCGCGCUAAGUCAGGUGUGAAAUUUCGGAGCUUAACUCCGAAACUGCAUUUGAUACUGGCGUGCUUGAGGACUGGAGAGGAGACUGGAAUUUACGGUGUAGCGGUGAAAUGCGUAGAUAUCGUAAGGAAGACCAGUGGCGAAGGCGGGUCUCUGGACAGU